rnacentral:ncRNA from 16 species
GUGGCGCCGAAGGCACGAGGUGCCCCAGAAGCAGCCGCCACCCGGCGACCGCGGACGGGGAGAAUCUGGGAAGCCGGUGAGAAUCCGGCACAGGGCCCGCUGCGGUGACUCAGGCAACACGACCUGGGAAGUCCGAAGACCGGCCUCGCGCCGCCACCAGUUC